rnacentral:rRNA from 1 species
UACAGAGGGUGCAAGCGUUGUUCGGAAUUACUGGGCGUAAAGCGCGCGUAGGCGGCUCUUCAAGUCGAGUGUGAAAGCUCCAGGCUUAACCUGGGAAUUGCGCUCGAUACUGUUGAGCUAGAGUGUGGUAGGGGAGACUGGAAUUCCUGGUGUAGCGGUGAAAUGCGCAGAUAUCAGGAGGAACACCGAUGGCGAAGGCAGGUCGUCUGGGCCACUACUGACGCUGAGAAGCGAAAGCAUGGGGAGCGAACAGG